GGCUCAAUGGUCUAGUCGUAUGAUUCUCGCUUUGGGUGUUCUUCACUCUCACAGUUGCGAGAGGUCUCGGGUUCAAUUCCCGAUUGAGCCC